rnacentral:pre_miRNA from 9 species
UCUCGAUAGCGUAAAAGUUAACUCGUAUUUGUAUGGAAUCGUAUCGUUUGCCUGCGUUUGCCGCUAGGGGCGCUGUUCCAACUGCAUACAAAAUUGGGCUAACUUUUACGCUAUCGA